rnacentral:lncRNA from 1 species
CACAGUGAUCACUUGAGUGACAAGAGUGACCAUCAGAGUGACCACAGCAACCACCAAAGUGAUCACAGUGACCACUGGAGUGACCAGAGUGACCACUGGAGUGACCACAGUGACCAGAGUGACCAUCAGAGUGACCACAGUGACCACAGUGACCACUCCAGUGACCACCAGAGUGACCAGAGUGACCACAGUGACCACCCCAGUGACCACCAGAGUGACCACAGCAGUGACCGGGGCGGGGGCGGGGCCCAGGGGAGGCCCCUGGGAAAUAAAAGGUGGUGGAGCAAAAUGGCGGCUGUGGGCGUGGUCAAUGUGAUGACGUCAUUGGGGUUUAUUGGGGGCGUGGUCAGGGUGAUGACAUCACUAGGAGGAAUCACUUGUGGGCGUGGUCAGUGUGAUGACAUCACAGGGAUUUUGGGGCGUGGUUGAUGUGACGUCACUGGGAUUUGGGGGCGUGGUCAGUGUGAUGACAUCACUGUGAUUUGGGGGCGUGGUCGGUGUGAUGACAUCACAGGGAUUUUGGGGCGUGGUUGAUGUGACGUCACUGGGAUUUGGGGGCGUGGUCAGUGUGAUGACGUCACUGGGAUUUCUGGGCGUGGUCAGUGCGAUGACAUCACUGUGAUUUGGGGGCGUGUUCGAUGUGAUGUCAGUGAUUUGGGGGUGUGGUCGGCG